rnacentral:lncRNA from 1 species
UUAGAUCUCUUUUGUAUAACAAUCAAUCUAUACCAAACUUCUUUUAAAGUUUCAUCACCCAAGCGCUUAAAAUUUAAAACUUUGGAACCUUCUCCCAAGUAAGGGGGAAGAGGCAUUUUCGCAGAAGGACUAGACAUGACUUCGAACAACCCCCCCCCCCCCCAAGCAAAGAUAAAUAUUUUUGAUUUUUUUUUGAUGUGAAAAACUAAAUAUAAC